rnacentral:misc_RNA from 1 species
GUAGGUGAACCUGCGGAAGGAUCAUUACCAUUCAAAAAAACUUAGACCCACGGGGGCACGCUCUCCAAUAGGACAGUCAGUAGAUGUACGGUUCUGCUGGCUGGCAGUCGAACGGAAGGCAGUUUCCAUUUAUGGUUCUGCCUUGGCUAGUAAGCUGAUCGAGCUGCCUGUCUGACCCCACCCUUGCUUUUUGCGCACCCAUUGUUUCCUCGGCAGGCUUGCCUGCCAGUAGGACCCCCCUUUAAACCUUUUGUAAUUGCAAUCAGCGUCAGAAACAACGUAAUCGUUACAACUUUCAACAACGGAUCUCUUGGUUCUG